rnacentral:sRNA from 1 species
AUGAAAACCUCAGCAACUGAAGUCCUGAAUUUUGCCACAGAGCAGGUACAGUACAGGAUUUGGCAGUGUAAGCUUCCCCACGCUGCUCCUCAACUCUGAGCUGGAGGAACAACCUCUAAGGAAGAGAGAGGGUGGUUCAUUUUCCAUGUCCAUUCAAUCCUUGGCCUCU